AAGCAGCCAUCCUUUAAAGAAAGCGUAAUAGCUCACUGAUCGAGUCGUCCUGCGCGGAAGAUGUAACGGGGCUAAGCAAUAUACCGAAGCUGCGGAUGCAUAUUUAUAUGCAUGGUAGGAGAGCGUUCCGUAAGCCUGCGAAGGUGCACUGGAAAGUGUGCUGGAGGUAUCGGAAGUGCGAAUGCUGACAUGAGUAGCGAUAAAGGGGGUGAAAGGCCCCCUCGCCGUAAGCCCAAGGUUUCCUACGCAACGUUCAUCGGCGUAGGGUGAGUCGGCCCCUAAGGCGAGGCAGAAAUGCGUAGCUGAUGGGAAGCAGGUUAAUAUUCCUGCACCAUUGUUGAAUGCGAUGGGGGGACGGAUCGCGGAAGGUUGUCCGGGUGUUGGAAGUCCCGGUCCUUGCAUUGGAGAAGGCGCUUUGGCAAAUCCGGGCGCGUAAUUCAAGGGUGUGAGGCCAGUCACUUCGGUGACGAAGCAAUCGGAAGUGGUUCCAGGAAAAGCCUCUAAGCUUCAGUUCAACAAGACCGUACCGCAAACCGACACAGGUGGGCGAGAUGAGUAUUCUAAGGCGCUUGAGAGAACUCGGGAGAAGGAACUCGGCAAAUUGGUACCGUAACUUCGGGAUAAGGUACGCCCCUGUAGCUUGAUGCGCCUGCGCGCAAAGGGUGAAGGGGUUGCAAUAAACUGGUGGCUGCGACUGUUUAAUAAAAACACAGCACUCUGCAAACACGAAAGUGGACGUAUAGGGUGUGACGCCUGCCCGGUGCCGGAAGAUUAAAUGAUGGGGUGCAAGCUCCUGAUUGAAGUCCCGGUAAACGGCGGCCGUAACUAUAACGGUCCUAAGGUAGCGAAAUUCCUUGUCGGGUAAGUUCCGACCUGCACGAAUGG
rnacentral:rRNA from 1 species